rnacentral:rRNA from 1 species
UACAGAGGGUGCAAGCGUUGUUCGGAAUUAUUGGGCGUAAAGCGCGUGUAGGCGGCUUUGCAAGUCGGGUGUGAAAUCCCUCAGCUCAACUGAGGAAGUGCGCCCGAAACUGCAGAGCUUGAGUACCGGAGAGGAUGGUGGAAUUCCCCAAGUAGAGGUGAAAUUCGUAGAUAUGGGGAGGAACACCGGUGGCGAAGGCGACCAUCUGGACGGAUACUGACGCUGAGACGCGAAAGCGUGGGUAGCAAACAGG